rnacentral:rRNA from 1 species
UUUCUCAAAUCAGGUGGGACUACCCGCUGAACUUAAGCAUAUCAAUAAGCGGAGGAAAAGAAACCAACCGGGAUUGCCUCAGUAACGGCGAGUGAAGCGGC